CCGUUGUGCUGGUCAUCGACCUACCACCCGCUGUGACUGCACCUGGCUCCUUCACCCACAAGGUGAAAUGAAAGACAGCCAAAGACAUGCCCAUGGUUUCAGAAAAUGGAGGUGGAAACUGUACACCGGAGCCCGGAUGAGCUCUGCUCUGUGUAUGCAAUAAGAGAUUGAAGGAACAGUCCAUGGGAAAUCCUUCCUAUUGCCCCAGGUUGGGAUUUGGAGUGCAGGACACACUGCUUCUUGCCAGUUUCUUUUGCACUAGUGUUAAUGCAGUGGAAAUUCCAUGAUCCACAUGAGCUGGGCAUGGAGCUUGCCUUGGUCAAGCUCAGGCUGAAAACCGUUGUGCUGGUCAUCGACCUACCACCCGCUGUGACUGCACCUGGCUCCUUCACCCACAAGGUGAAAUGAAAGACAGCCAAAGACAUGCCCAUGGUUUCAGAAAAUGGAGGUGGAAACAGUACACCGGAGCCCG